rnacentral:rRNA from 1 species
GACGAACGCUGGCGGCGUGCUUAACACAUGCAAGUCGAACGAUGAAGCCUUUCGGGGUGGAUUAGUGGCGAACGGGUGAGUAACACGUGGGUAAUCUGCCUUGCACUCUGGGAUAAGCCUGGGAAACUGGGUCUAAUACCGGAUAUGACUACUUCACGCAUGGUGGGGUGGUGGAAAGUUCGUGGCGGUGUGAGAUGAACCCGCGGCCUAUCAGCUUGUUGGUGGGGUGAGGCCUACCAAGGCGACGACGGGUAGCCGGCCUGAGAGGGCGACCGGUCACACUGGGACUGAGAC